rnacentral:rRNA from 1 species
UACGGGGGGGGUAAGCGUUGUUCGGAAUUACUGGGCGUAAAGGGCUCGUAGGCGGCCAACUAAGUCAGACGUGAAAUCCCUCAGCUUAACUGGGGAACUGCGUCUGAUACUGGAUGGCUUGGAUCCGGGAGAGGGAUGCGGAAUUCCAGGUGUAGCGGUGAAAUGCGUAGAUAUCUGGAGGAACACCGGUGGCGAAGGCGGCAUCCUGGACCGGUAUUGACGCUGAGGAGCGAAAGCGUGGGUAGCAAACAGG